GCCUGCUGAGGGCGAAGGAAUUUGAUGGAAAGGAGUGGAUGAUCAUGGUUGACAUGAACCAUGCGGAUCUGCAGUCAUGUACUGAUGUGAAUGUAGAAGACAAGUUCUCUAAUACCACCCAACUUCCAACUGUCUUCUCCAAAUACCUUCAAAAGGCGAACAGGGAUGGCAUGGGACAUCAUUGAGCUAACUUCAUUGAAAUGCAAGUCUGCAAUAUGAAGACCUGUUAUCUGGUGACUGAAGGUGAACACUUUGCGGAUGCUCAAAUCAAAGAUGUUGUUUGUCAAUGACGCGGUGCAGGCAGAACAGUUUGAUGAUGUACUGAUGAAUAUCUAUUGGAGUAACGCUACAUGUUCUGGAUCAUUUAAUCA